rnacentral:rRNA from 1 species
CACGUUAUUUAGGGCGCAUGGUGGAUGCCUUGGCAUGCUGAGCCGAUGAAGGACGUGAAAGGCUGCGUUAAGCCUCGGGGAGUUGUCAAUUGAGCGUUGAUCCGAGGAUGUCCGAAUGGGGAAACCUGGCCCUGGUUAUGUGGGGUUACCCUUCAGUGAAUUCAUAGCUGUUGUGGGGGUUUACGCGGGGAAGUGAAACAUCUCAGUACCCGUAGGAGGAGAAAAUAAUAAUGAUUCUGCUAGUAGUGGCGAACGAACGUGGAUGAGGCUAAACCGUGUGCAUGUGAUACCUGGUAGGGGUUGUGUGUGCGGUGUUGUGGGGCCUGAUUUUGUGUCAUCUACCAGUGGCACGCCCUUUUUUGCAUUGUUGUUAGGUGAAGUGGUUUGGAAUGGCCUGCCGGAGUAGGUGAGAGUCCUGUAGCUGAAGAUGAUGAUGUGUGGGUUGUUGGGUUGCCCGAGUAGCAGCGGGCUCGUGGAAUCUGCUGUGAAUCUGCCGGGACCACCCGGUAAGCCUAAAUACUCAGUGUGACCGAUAGUGUAUGAGUACCGUGAGGGAAUGGUGAAAAGUACCCCGGGAGGGGAGUGAAAUAGUUCCUGAAACCAUGUGCUUACAAUCCGUCAGAGCACCGUUUGUGUGUGAUGGCGUGCCUUUUGAAGAAUGAGCCUGCGAGUCAGCGGCAUGUCGCGAGGUUAACCCGUGUGGGGUAGCCGUAGGGAAACCGAAUCCUAAUGGGGUGAUAAGUGGCAUGUCCUGGACCCGAAGCGGGGUGAUCUACCCAUGGCCAGUGUGAAGCAGCUGUAAGAGGUUGUGGAGGCGCGAACCCACGUAGGUUAAAAACUGCGGGGAUGAGCUGUGGGUAGGGGUGAAAGGCCAAUCAAACUCCGUGAUAGCUGGUUCUCCCCGAAAUGCAUUUAGGUGCAGCGUCGUAUUAUAGCUUGGUGGAGGUAGAGCGACUGGUUGGUUGAGCGGGACUACAAUCUUAGCAAUGUCAGCCAAACUCCGAAUGCCACUAAUUGUGUUGUACGGCAGUGAGACUGUGGGGGAUAAGCUUCAUAGUCGAGAGGGAAACAGCCCAGAUCGCCGGUUAAGGCCCCUAAGGGUGUACUAAGUGGAAAAGGAUGUGGGAUCGCGAAGACAGCCAGGAGGUUGGCUUAGAAGCAGCCAUCCUUGAAAGAGUGCGUAAUAGCUCACUGGUCGAGUGGUUCNGCGCCGACAAUGUAGUGGGGCUCAAGUACACCGCCGAAGCCGCGGCAACAAUGUUUUGUUGGGUAGGGGAGCGUCGUGCAUGGUGUGAAGCAGUACCGUGAGGGGUUGUGGACUGUGUGCGAGUGAGAAUGCAGGCAUGAGUAACGAGUGUAAGGUGAGAAUCCUUACCGCCGGAUGACUAAGGGUUCCUGGGUCAAGUUCGUCUUCCCAGGGUGAGUCGGGACCUAAGGCGAGGCCGACAGGCGUAGUCGAUGGAUAACCAGUUGANNNUCUAGCGACCUCCACCCGUACAUGUGCGCCCAUGAUAAAGCACGGAUACUAACCACUGCGGAUACGCUACCUUUUGCUCUUUUUGAGUGUUGGUGGUGUUGAUGUCGUGGGGCCUGAUGUGUGGUUCAAGUGAUGGGGUGACGCAGUGAGGUAGCCGCGCCACUUAGUGGAUUGGUGGUGUAAGCGUGUAGGCCGUGUGGUAGGUAAAUCCGCCGCACAUAGAGGUUGAGGCGUGAUGCGUAGACCCUAAGCGGGUUGAUGGUGGUGAUCCUGUACUGUCGAGAAAAGCCUCUAGCGAGUGUGUGUAUGGCCCGUACCCUAAACCGACACAGGUGGUCAGGUUGAAGAUACUAAGGCGUUCGGGUGAACUGUGGUUAAGGAAUUCGGCAAAAUGCCCCCGUAACUUCGGGAGAAGGGGGGCCCUGUGAUGUGAAGACCCUGUGCGGUUGGAGUGUNAGUGGAGGUCGCUAGANNNUNGAGGGAAGCGACUGUUUAUCAAAAACACAGGUCCAUGCGAAGACGUUAAGUUGAUGUAUAUGGACUGACGCCUGCCCGGUGCUGGAAGGUUAAGAGGACCGGUUAGUAGUCUUUGACUGCGAAGCUGAGAAUUUAAGCCCCAGUAAACGGCGGUGGUAACUAUAACCAUCCUAAGGUAGCGAAAUUCCUUGUCGGGUAAGUUCCGACCU